rnacentral:rRNA from 1 species
GACGAACGCUGGCGGCGUGCUUAACACAUGCAAGUCGAACGGAAAGGCCCUGCUUUUGUGGGGUGCUCGAGUGGCGAACGGGUGAGUAACACGUGAGUAACCUGCCCUUGACUUUGGGAUAACUUCAGGAAACUGGGGCUAAUACCGGAUAGGAGCUCCUGCUGCAUGGUGGGGGUUGGAAAGUUUCGGCGGUUGGGGAUGGACUCGCGGCUUAUCAGCUUGUUGGUGGGGUAGUGGCUUACCAAGGCUUUGACGGGUAGCCGGCCUGAGAGGGUGACCGGCCACAUUGGGACUGAGAUACGGCCCAGACUCCUACGGGAGGCAGCAGUGGGGAAUAUUGCACAAUGGGCGGAAGACUGAUGCAGCAACGCCGCGUGCGGGAUGACGGCCUUCGGGUUGUAAACCGCUUUCGCAUGUGACGAAGCGUGAGUGACGGUAAUGGGUAAAGAAGCACCGGCUAACUACGUG